AUUGAACGCUGGCGGCAGGCCUAACACAUGCAAGUCGAGCGGAGCGGCGGACGGGAAAGGAAUGCCUAGGAAUCUGCCUGGUAGUGGGGGAUAACGUCCGGAAACGGGAGCUAAUACCGCAUACUAUCAGAUGAGACUAGGUCGGAUUGGCUAGUUGGUGGGGUAAAGGCCUACCAAGGCGACGAUCCGUAACUGGUCUGAGAGGAUGAUCAGGCAUACUGGAACUGAGACACGGUCCAGCCUCCUACGGGAGGCAGCAGUGGGGAAGAUGGGAAAAUGGGCGAAAGCCGGAUCCAGCCAUGCCGCGUGUGUGAAGAAGGUCUGAGGAUUGUAAAGCACUUUAAGUUGGGAGGCGUUACCAACAGAAUAAGCACCGGCUAACUUCGUGCCAGCAGCCGCGGUAAUUC
rnacentral:rRNA from 1 species